GGGGGACGGAGAAGGCUAUGUUGGCCGGGCGACGGUUGUCCCGGUUUAAGCGUGUAGGUGUGUGUUCCAGGUAAAUCCGGUUCACUUUAACACUGAGGCGUGACGACGAGGCACUACGGUGCUGAAGCAACAAAUGCCCUGCUUCCAGGAAAAGCCUCUAAGCAUCAGGUAACAUCAAAUCGUACCCCAAACCGACACAGGUGGUCAGGUAGAGAAUACCAAGGCGCUUGAGAGAACUCGGGUGAAGGAACUAGGCAAAAUGGUGCCGUAACUUCGGGAGAAGGCACGCUGACACGUAGGUGAAGUGAUUUACUCAUGGAGCUGAAGUCAGUCGAAGAUACCAGCUGGCUGCAACUGUUUAUUAAAAACACAGCACUGUGCAAACACGAAAGUGGACGUAUACGGUGUGACGCCUGCCCGGUGCCGGAAGGUUAAUUGAUGGGGUCAGCGCAAGCGAAGCUCCUGAUCGAAGCCCCGGUAAACGGCGGCCGUAACUAUAACGGUCCUAAGGUAGCGAAAUUCCUUGUCGGGUAAGUUCCGACCUGCACGAAUGGCGUAAUGAUGGCCAGGCUGUCUCCACCCGAGACUCAGUGAAAUUGAACUCGCUGUGAAGAUGCAGUGUACCCGCGGCAAGACGGAAAGACCCCGUGAACCUUUACUAUAGCUUGACACUGAACAUUGAGCCUUGAUGUGUAGGAUAGGUGGGAGGCUUUGAAGUGUGGACGCCAGUCUGCAUGGAGCCGACCUUGAAAUACCACCCUUUAAUGUUUGAUGUUCUAACGUGGACCCGUAAUCCGGGUUGCGGACAGUGUCUGGUGGGUAGUUUGACUGGGGCGGUCUCCUCCUAAAGAGUAACGGAGGAGCACGAAGGUUGGCUAAUCCUGGUCGGACAUCAGGAGGUUAGUGCAAUGGCAUAAGCCAGCUUGACUGCGAGCGUGACGGCGCGAGCAGGUGCGAAAGCAGGUCAUAGUGAUCCGGUGGUUCUGAAUGGAAGGGCCAUCGCUCAACGGAUAAAAGGUACUCCGGGGAUAACAGGCUGAUACCGCCCAAGAGUUCAUAUCGACGGCGGUGUUUGGCACCUCGAUGUCGGCUCAUCACAUCCUGGGGCUGAAGUAGGUCCCAAGGGUAUGGCUGUUCGCCAUUUAAAGUGGUACGCGAGCUGGGUUUAGAACGUCGUGAGACAGUUCGGUCCCUAUCUGCCGUGGGCGCUGGAGAACUGAGGGGGGCUGCUCCUAGUACGAGAGGACCGGAGUGGACGCAUCACUGGUGUUCGGGUUGUCAUGCCAAUGGCACUGCCCGGUAGCUAAAUGCGGAAGAGAUAAGUGCUGAAAGCAUCUAAGCACGAAACUUGCCCCGAGAUGAGUUCUCCCUGAGACUUAGAGUCUCCUGAAGGAACGUUGAAGACGACGACGUUGAUAGGCCGGGUGUGUAAGCGCAGCGAUGCGUUGAGC
rnacentral:rRNA from 1 species